CCCUUAGAUGUUCUGGGCCGCACGCGCGCUACACUGGUGCGUUCAGCGAGUUUAGCACCUUAACAGAUAUGUUUGGGUAAUCUUCUGAAAACGCACCGUGAUGGGGAUCGAUUAUUGUAAUUAUUAAUCGUCAACGAGGAAUUCCUAGUAAGUGUGAAUCAUCAGUUCGCGCUGAUUACGUCCCUGCCCUUUGUACACACCGCCCGUCGCUGCUACCGAUUGAGUGGUCCUGUGAAUUAUUCGGACCGGUGGACUGUGGGGAAACCCGCGGCCUGCUGGGAAGUCUUGUGAACCUUAUCACUUAGAGGAAGCAGAAGUCGUAACA
rnacentral:rRNA from 1 species